rnacentral:rRNA from 1 species
UUCAUGAGAAGAUUGGUUUCGGCCCAUUUGGUGAGUUUAAUUUAACUCCUUCGUGUAAGUGCCUCAAAUGUCUAAAAUACCUCUUUUAUUUGUUAUGUUAGUAAUAAUUUUCUUUUUCGGGUUAUGAAUGUAAAAGGUUUUUUUAGAAAAAAAACACUAAAAAAAAAAGAAGUUCAAGGUUCAAAAUCUUUUAUAUCAUUUUGUUGACCAUUAAAUUAGAAGAUUUCUCUAAUAGCUAAAAUUUAUAGCGUAGUUUUGAAGAAGCUAAGGUGACAUAAUUUCUUAGAGAAAACAAGAUAGUCUAAAUAAAGAUAAUGGGUUGUAGCCCUGGAGAUAAGAUAUUAUUCUUUCUUGUGAAAAUGAGGUUGUAGCAUAAAUUAGAUUGCAUUGAAUUGCAGAUUCAAGGGUGUUUUGAAACCUACCUCUAGAUGUUAUUUGGUCUUGGUUAAAUAAAGAUUAGAUAUUGGAACCAACAUAAAAAAAUUUUCAAAAAAGUUGAAGGUGGUCAGAAGUUAUAUUUUAGUGGUGAAUUUUUAUAAAUAAAAAUGAAAGUUUGUUUAAGCCAAUAUUAUUAGAGGGGCAAAUAUUAGGUGCCAGCAGCUGCGGUUAUACCUAUUCUCAUUCUUUAUUUUUGGAAAAAACAUAAAUAUUAAAAUUUUUAGAGAAAGUAUUUUUAUUGUAGUUAAAUAUUAAAAAUAGCUAAUACAAGGCUAAAUGU